rnacentral:tRNA from 1 species
GUUCAAGUAGCUUAACACUAAAGCGCCAGCCUUGUAAGCUGGAGAUAGAGAUUCAACCUCUCUUUAACU